rnacentral:rRNA from 3 species
UACGUAGGGUGCGAGCGUUAAUCGGAAUUACUGGGCGUAAAGGGUGCGCAGGCGGCUCCGCAUGUCGGGCGUGAAAUCCCCGGGCUUAACCUGGGAAUUGCGUCCGAAACUAUGGAGCUGGAGUGUGGCAGAGGGAGGUGGAAUUCCACGUGUAGCGGUGAAAUGCGUAGAGAUGUGGAGGAACACCGAUGGCGAAGGCAGCCUCCUGGGCCAACACUGACGCUCAUGCACGAAAGCGUGGGGAGCAAACAGG